AUUGAACGCUAGCGGGAUGCUUUACACAUGCAAGUCGAACGAGUGGCGGACGGGUGAGUAAUAUAUCGGAACGUGCCCAGUAGCGGGGGAUAACUCCUCGAAAGAGUGGCUAAUACCGCCUACUAUUGGAGCGGCCCCGAUCGGAUUAGCUAGUUGGUGGGGUAAAGGCGCACCAAGGAAACGAUCCGUAGCUGCUUUGAGAGGAAGACCAGCAACACUGGGACUGAGACACGGCCCAGACUACGACGGGAGGCAGCAGUGGGGAAGUUUGGAAAAUGGGGGAAAACCGGAGCCAGCCAUCCCGCGGGUAGGAGAAGGCCUUCGGGUUGGAAAGUAAUUUUGGCAGAGAAGCGGUAUCUGCAGAAUAAGCACCGGCUAACUACGUGCCAGCCGCCGCGGUAAUAC
rnacentral:rRNA from 1 species